CAUUUGGAGAAUAAUGAGUUGAUGGCUUGUUUUCAUGUCAGAUUACCAGGAUGUCUCGCUUCGGGCAACUGCCUACCAUUUCUCAGCAUCAUAACUACCAAAGACAUUUAUGGUCUAUCAUCUGGGCUAUGUUGAACACAUAAUAAAGCCACAUGGAUUGAUCUCAACAGUUCUAUUGUCACUUAACUCGAUCAAAGAUUCAUCUCGAAGUUCCAAAGUCUUUCCUUCUCAGUGGCGGACCCAGUAAUUAUUUUCUGGGGGUGCGAACGAAGGGUUCAACCAAAUUUUCAAGGGGUGCAGUCGGGAUUUUUACCUCGAAAAUACACAAAAGCUUUUUUCAAGGGGGCGCCCGCCCACCCACGCCAAAGCUUGGGUCCGCCCUUGUUCCUUCUUUAUAAAGUCUCCAUGCCUAAUAGUUAAUUAGUUAGAUCAAAAUUAGAAGUUGUAGAUCAAGUUAGUAGUUUAC
rnacentral:lncRNA from 1 species